rnacentral:rRNA from 1 species
GAGUUUGAUCGAUGGCUCAGGAUGAACGCUAGNUACAGGCUUAACACAUGCAAGUCGAGGGGAAACGACAUCGAAAGCUUGCUUUUGAUGGGCGUCGACCGGCGCACGGGUGAGUAACGCGUAUCCAACCUGCCCACCACUUGGGGAUAACCUUGCGAAAGUAAGACUAAUACCCAAUGAUAUCUCUAGAAGACAUCUGAAAGAGAUUAAAGAUUUAUCGGUGAUGGAUGGGGGAUGCGUCUGAUUAGCUUGUUGGCGGGGUAACGGCCCACCAAGGCAACGAUCAGUAGGGGUUCUGAGAGGAAGGUCCCCCACAUUGGAACUGAGACACGGUCCAAACUCCUACGGGAGGCAGCA